AGAGAGAGGGAGAGAGAGAGAUAGAUUGAGGACGAGGAGGAGAGGUGGAUUUUGGAGGCAGAGGCAGAGGAGGGGAUGGGGAUAUGAAGGGAAGGAGAGGUCGGUAAUGGCGCGAUGGAAUAUGGGCCUCAUACACAGGCGCGUAUCAAACAUUUCUUUUGUGACUUUGAUGAAUUUACGAAAAUGUCCUUAGGAUACAGGUGGAAUUACCUGAGUUCAUACUGGUUUUGGUUAAUCGAUCUGAGUGUUCUGACGUGCUGCUCGUCAUUAUCGAGAAAAGUAUACAAUGUGGCUUGCUUAUUUUAUGGAAGUGUGGGUCCGGUAUAUUAACCACUUGAUUCUCUGUUCAGUGAUUCUCCUUGCCGAAUAAAAGCUUUGCU
rnacentral:misc_RNA from 1 species